rnacentral:rRNA from 1 species
GACGAACGCUGGCGGCGUGCUUAACACAUGCAAGUCGAACGGAAAGGCCCUGCAUUUGUGGGGUGCUCGAGUGGCGAACGGAUGAGUAACACGUGAGUAACCUGCCCUUGACUUUGGGAUAACUUCCGGAAACUGGGGCUAAUACCUGAUAGGAGCUCCUGCUGCAUGGCGGGGGUUGGAAAGUUUCGGCGGUUGGGGAUGGUCUCGCGGCUUAUCAGCUUGUUGGUGGGGUAGUGGCUUACCAAGGCUUUGACGGGUAGCCGGCCUGAGAGGGUGACCGGCCACAUUGGGACUGAGGUACGGCCCAGACUCCUACGGGAGGCAGCGGUGGGGAAUAUUGCACAAUGGGCGGAAGCCUGAUGCAGCAACGCCGCGUGCGGGAUGACGGCCUUCGGGUUGUAAACCGCUUUCGCCUGUGACGAAGCGUGAGUGACGGUAAUGGGUAAAGAAGCACCGGCUAACUACGUG